UAUAAAACACGUUCUCAUAUUCUUCUAUGGGAAUUAGGGCAACAACAAGAUCGACCCACCCGAUCGAUAGGAUUCGCUUCACCGGCGACAGAUCUUCCCUGAUUUCUACUCGCAAAGAAGACACUUGGAUCUUGAGAGUACAGUUGGAGAGUUUCCCCUAUGUACGGCCAGCCCAUUGAACCAGGAGGCAGCUUUGCUUUUUGAAGAAGAGGCUGGGAUAGAGACGAGAUAUAUGGGGAAGAAGGUUUGCCAAAUGUUGGGUAAGAGGGGUUAUUACAUUACUGUAUCAUGAUAUGCCAUAUAAUAGAUUCAUACAUAUCUAAGGUAGGAGGACGAAAUUGGACCACAUUAAGCAAUAUCAAAUGUCAUCUGAUGAAGUGGACCUAUUGCGUUGAAACAAGACAAAAUUCACACCAAUAGCUGAGUACUUAGCUUUGUCUGCUUUGACGUAUAUUUUUGUGCUCCUCUUCUUUUAGAGGUAACUAUUUUCGUUUUGUUCUCAUAGUUGUGCGCAUGUGAUCUUUUGAUUUUCUUUAACUUUUACUUUUUCGUUUGUGGAUCAUACUUUUGAGUUAAUACCAGAGGAAAUGGUGUUUAUCAAGGCCCACUCAAGCGGAAGAAAAUUCUCGUUCAUAUUGGUUAUGUGCACCGCUUUUGAGUCAAGGUUCAAUCGGAAGUAACCUCUCUACCCAACUAAGAUAGGUAGGAUAAGGUAGGCAUACAUCCUACACUCCUACCUUUCCCACACCACACUUGUGGAACUACCUCGGUAUAUUGUUGUUGUUGAUUGGUUGUGUGGGGGAAUGGGGCGAUCAGGAACUGAUCAUAGUUAGUAAAAUACAGAUAUAUAGAUCUUAUAGUAUCCUACUCGAGUUCAUAAAAUAACACACACACACACACAUAUAUAUAUAUAUGAUGGUACCUCAAUUCAAAAGUUCUCUUUCAACUGGAAAAUGAACAUGUCCGUGGUCCAUUAUAGAAACAUAGAGCCAACGUAAACAACAAAAAGUUUUGAUGACUUUUUGAAAUAUGCUCAUUAAUUUGCAUAUAUAACAUAUGAGAAUAUUUUCUGGACUAUGCAAUAACGUUUUUCGUAACACCACUCUCCCUCUUGAGUUAUUAUAGCACAUGACAUGCUCUUCUAAUUUGCUUUACCUCAUAAGUGAUUAGCUGUCAGCAGAUGUGUAUUUAGCUUCAAAAGCAUUAUCAGCAACUAUAGAACUUUGUUGCUUCUGUAUAACUGCUAUGAUAUAAUUGUCACGAUAGCAUUUUCCUUCUGCCUUUUAAAUAUUUCUGUUCAAGAAUUCAGUUAUUAGUGUUUCCAAUAUUGGGAACUCUGAAAUGAACUUCUCAAAAUUAUCU